UUGAACUUUGGCACAUUUGGGGUCUAUUUUCAGUGUAAAGCACAUGGAGAGUUAUUGAUUGUGUUCGGAGUCAACACAUGGGGAUUGAAGAUGGUGUUUCCCUUGAAAGGCCUUGAAAGGUGACUCUCCUCAGACAGCGCUUGUAAACAACAACAAAGUUGUGUAAGUCUGCGCCUACAUUUUCACAGGUCACUCUGCCUGCUUGUUUUUAACCCUCUGGAGUUUUGAUAUCUCCCCUUAAAAACGGUUUACCUCUCCUUGCUUGGUAUCAUUUUUUCAGCACAACCUCACUUGUGUGGUUUUACAGUUAAUUUAUCACUUUGACUCACUGUAUUAACACAGAGGACCUAAAUUCACACACAAAACACAAAUCCGAGUGGAAAAAAGUAACAUUUUUUACUGUAAAAACCACAAAUAUGUUUAAAAAACAUUUUCAUAACUUAGACUGCAAAUAUAAACUGUAAACUUCAAAACAUAUAUACAAUUUUAGCAAAUAACACAGUUAUUUACCACCAUUUUCAUUAAAAUGUGGGCAAUACAUGGACUAUUUACAAGUUUCUUGAAUAUGUCAUGUGAUUUUGAUGCUCAGGGGUGUCAAUCGACUCCACAGGGUUAAUCUGUUUCCUUUACUGCACACUGUUAAUCUGACAGCCCUACACAGAAGCGCCGGGGUGUCAUAAGAUGUGCAUUUUUAGAUUGUUUGGUUCAGACUGUUGUUCACAAACAUGCUGUCUUCCUUAUUGAAGAACAAAGCUAAAGGCGGACGAGCAGAAAUUAGAGUAGGAACGAAACAUAGCAACAGUAACCAGACACACACACACCUGGGAUGCAAGAGCAUCGCCUCAUCAGUGAGAUUCGAUACGCGAGGGGAGGAGAGAGGAGCUUUUCCUCCUUCAGUCAGUGAUGUCAUGCUGCUGUAUGCUGCUGGCCUCGGUGUAAGACUGAAUGAAGAACAGGAUGAAAGUACACGAAGUACAGAGAUCGUGUCGUGCAGCUUGUGGGCAGGAAAGGACGCGCAGCUCAUCCAAAACCAUCGGGUCACACGCUGCUCCUUCCCUCUUUCUUUAUCUGCUCAUUUCGCCAACUCCGUGCCCCCGACUGACUCCCAUCCUCUCUUCCUCCGUAUCCCGUCUUCCCCUCUGUUGUUCUCCUGCCCUCCAUCAUUGUCAGAAACAGCAGCAGC